GUAACACGUGGGUAACCUGCCUAAAAGAAGGGGAUAACACUUGGAAAUAGGUGCUAAUACCGUAUAUCUCUAAAGAUCGCAUGAUCUUUAGAUGAAAGAUGGUUCUGCUAUCGCUUUUAGAUGGACCCGCGGCGUAUUAACUAGUUGGUGGGGUAACGGCCUACCAAGGUGAUGAUACGUAGCCGAACUGAGAGGUUGAUCGGCCACAUUGGGACUGAGACACGGCCCAAACUCCUACGGGAGGCAGCAGUAGGGAAUCUUCCACAAUGGACGCAAGUCUGAUGGAGCAACGCCGCGUGAGUGAAGAAGGUCUUCGGAUCGUAAAACUCUGUUGUUAGAGAAGAACACGAGUGAGAGUAACUGUUCAUUCGAUGACGGUAUCUAACCAGCAAGUCACGGCUAACUACGUGCCAGCAGCCGCGGUAAUACGUAGGUGGCAAGCGUUGUCCGGAUUUAUUGGGCGUAAAGGGAACGCAGGCGGUCUUUUAAGUCUGAUGUGAAAGCCUUCGGCUUAACCGGAGUAGUGCAUUGGAAACUGGAAGACUUGAGUGCAGAAGAGGAGAGUGGAACUCCAUGUGUAGCGGUGAAAUGCGUAGAUAUAUGGAAGAACACCAGUGGCGAAAGCGGCUCUCUGGUCUGUAACUGACGCUGAGGUUCGAAAGCGUGGGUAGCAAACAGGAUUAGAUACCCUGGUAGUCCACGCCGUAAACGAUGAAUGC
rnacentral:rRNA from 1 species